AGCGAACGCUGGCGACAGGCCUAACACAUGCAAGUCGAACGAAACCUUCGGGUUUAGUGGCGGACGGGUGAGUAACACGUGGGAACGUGCCCUUUGGUUCGGAACAACUCAGGGAAACUUGAGCUAAUACCGGAUGUGCCCUUCGGGGGAAAGAUUUAUCGCCAUUGGAGCGGCCCGCGUAGGAUUAGCUAGUUGGUGGGGUAAUGGCCCACCAAGGCUCCGAUCCUUAGCUGGUCUGAGAGGAUGAUCAGCCACACUGGGACUGAGACACGGCCCAGACUCCUACGGGAGGCAGCAGUGGGGAAUCUUGCGCAAUGGGCGAAAGCCUGACGCAGCCAUGCCGCGUGAAUGAUGAAGGUCUUAGGAUUGUAAAAUUCUUUCACCGGGGACGAUAAUGACGGUACCCGGAGAAGAAGCCCCGGCUAACUUCGUGCCAGCAGCCGCGGUAA
rnacentral:rRNA from 1 species